UACGAAGGGGGCUAGCGUUGUUCGGAAUUACUGGGCGUAAAGCGCACGUAGGCGGAUUGUUAAGUCGGGGGUGAAAUCCUGGAGCUCAACUCCAGAACUGCCUUCGAUACUGGCGGUCUCGAGUCCGGGAGAGGUGAGUGGAACUGCGAGUGUAGAGGUGAAAUUCGUAGAUAUUCGCAAGAACACCAGUGGCGAAGGCGGCUCACUGGCCCGGUACUGACGCUGAGGUGCGAAAGCGUGGGGAGCAAACAGG
rnacentral:rRNA from 1 species